rfam:Populus trichocarpa scaffold_13_contig_109, whole genome shotgun sequence.
UCUAGAACUCAAGAUUAGGCUGAACACUGAACAAUGUCUGGGCUACAUGACAAAUUCAAAUAUCUCUUUAGUUGCUAAGAUUUGAGUUUGAAAACGGCAGUUGUGAAUCUUGGACUCUUCAUGAAUGUUUUAUGCGUGUAUCUUAGCUAUCCAUC